UGGUAUGUACUGGCUUCGCUGAUUCCUCCUUUCUGAAGAACUGUAAUGCCAUUAAUUUGGUGUUGCAGGGAAACAGGACUGUUACUUUGAAAAAAUUAGAGUGUUUAAAGCAGGCUAACGCUUGAAUACAUUAGCAUGGAAUAAUGAAAUAGGACGUUUGAUCCUAUUUUGUUGGUUUCUAGGAUUGACGUAAUGAUUAAUAGGGAUAGUUGGGGGCAUUAGUAUUCAAUUGUCAGAGGUGAAAUUCUUGGAUUUAUUGAAGACUAACUACUGCGAGAGCAUUUGCCAAGGAUGUUUUCAUUAAUCAAGAACGAAGGUUAGGGGAUCGAAGACGAUCAGAUACCGUCGUAGUCUUAACCAUAAACUAUGCCGACUAGGGAUCGGAUGAUGUUAAUUUUUUAAUGACUCAUUCGGCGCCUUACG
rnacentral:rRNA from 1 species